GAGCUUGCUCCCUGAUGUUAGCGGCGGACGGGUGAGUAACACGUGGGUAACCUGCCUGUAAGACUGGGAUAACUCCGGGAAACCGGGGCUAAUACCGGAUGGUUGUUUGAACCGCAUGGUUCAAACAUAAAAGGUGGCUUCGGCUACCACUUACAGAUGGACCCGCGGCGCAUUAGCUAGUUGGUGAGGUAACGGCUCACCAAGGCAACGAUGCGUAGCCGACCUGAGAGGGUGAUCGGCCACACUGGGACUGAGACACGGCCCAGACUCCUACGGGAGGCAGCAGUAGGGAAUCUUCCGCAAUGGACGAAAGUCUGACGGAGCAACGCCGCGUGAGUGAUGAAGGUUUUCGGAUCGUAAAGCUCUGUUGUUAGGGAAGAACAAGUACCGUUCGAAUAGGGCGGUACCUUGACGGUACCUAACCAGAAAGCCACGGCUAACUACGUGCCAGCAGCCGCGGUAAUACGUAGGUGGCAAGCGUUGUCCGGAAUUAUUGGGCGUAAAGGGCUCGCAG
rnacentral:rRNA from 1 species